CUGGAAACGGCAGCACUGAGCGUGAUGUUAUGUUCCUGAGACUGGGCAGGUAUCUCAGAGGUGUCUGGUGAAGCUGAGGGAGGACACACAAGACAGCUGCAGCCAGGGGUAGUUGUCUGCCCUGUCCAGGAGAGUAUACUUCCAUAUAUUAGUCCUCAGCUCUGCUGCCUGAACUGAGAAAAGCAAGGUGACCCUACGCUUCUAUUUUGCUAAAGAAUAUUCACUGACAUGACAAUGCAAGUCUUUACCACAUCCCAGCAACUAUCCUCCUUGCUCUUGGACGUGUUUGGAUGAAGAAAAAGAAAAAGAGAGAGAAUUGAGAUUGAAAGCACAGAAAUUCUGGAGCAAUCUGCAGACAGAGCAUGGUUAAAAAAAUGGGAUUGUGUUUUAUUUAGUCUAAGACUUAAAAAUAAAUAAAAAGAAAAAAAUACUA